UGGGGAAUAUUGCACAAUGGAGGAAACUCUGAUGCAGCGACGCCGCGUGGAGGAAGAAGGUUUUCGGAUCGUAAACUCCUGUUGUCGGGGACGAUAAUGACGGUACCCGACAAGAAAGUGACGGCUAACUACGUGCCAGCAGCCGCGGUAAAACGUAGGUCACAAGCGUUGUCCGGAAUUACUGGGUGUAAAGGGAGCGCAGGCGGGGAGAUAAGUUGGGAGUGAAAACUAUGGGCUCAACCCAUAAAUUGCUUUCAAAACUAUCUUUCUUGAGUAGUGCAGAGGUAGGCGGAAUUCCCGGUGUAGCGGUGGAAUGCGUAGAUAUCGGGAGGAACACCAGUGGCGAAGGCGGCCUACUGGGCACCAACUGACGCUGAGGCUCGAAAGUAUGGGUAGCAAACAGG
rnacentral:rRNA from 1 species